rnacentral:rRNA from 1 species
AUUGAACGCUGGCGGCAUGCCUUACACAUGCAAGUCGAACGGUAACGCGGGGGCAACCCUGGCGACGAGUGGCGAACGGGUGAGUAAUACAUCGGAACAUAUCCAGUAGCGGGGGAUAACCUAUCGAAAGAUGGACUAAUACCGCAUCCGAUCUACGGAUGAAAGCAGGGGACCGCAAGGCCAUGCACUAUUGGAGUGGCCGGUGUCGGAUUAGCUAGUUGGUGGGGUAAAAGCCUACCAAGGCGACGAUCCGUAGCUGGUCUGAGAGGACGAUCAGCCACACUGGAACUGAGACACGGUCCAGACUCCUACGGGAGGCAGCAGUGGGGAAUUUUGGACAAUGGGCGCAAGCCUGAUCCAGCCAUGCCGCGUGAGUGAAGAAGGCCUUCGGGUUGUAAAGCUCUUUCGGUGAAGACGAAACGGUUAGCGCUAAUAACGCUGACUAAUGACGGUACUCACAGAAGAAGCACCGGCUAACUACGUGCCAGCAGCCGCAGUAA